ACCAAUCUUGAGAACUAGUUCUCGCAGUUUCCUAGCCUACCAAUCAGUUUGUUUGAACGACUCGAAUAGCCAAUCAGUGCUGCACUGCACUCUUAUUCUUCUAUUCCUAUUGGCGGGGGGCUAUUCAGACAAGACCAUUCAUUCGAAUAAGCUAGUAGGCGGAACAGGCACAUUGGAAAUAGCCGGUGCUGUGGUCCCAUAGAAACCAUCACUUGAAACUAGUAGCUGCUACUAUUGAGAAACCAACCCCUUAAAUAGAGUAGCGCUCUAUCUAAUUGAUCUUCUUGUUCGGCGACCCCUCCUCCAUAAUAGUAUUUGCUUGGCAAGCACGAGUUCGAGAGACCCACUAUUACAUAGGAUUAACAUGCCGGGGCUUUUAAAGAUAGAUGGUUUACUGGCAACUCUUUUAUUUGGCAAAUGGAUUCUUCUCCUCACUAGGUUCUUACUAUUCUCUAAUGGCAGAGAACAGAAGCUCAG
rnacentral:lncRNA from 1 species